CAGUCGCCGCGGGAAUACGAAGGGUGCAAGCGUUAAUCGGAAUUACUGGGCGUAAAGCGCGCGUAGGUGGUUUGGUAAGAUGGAUGUGAAAUCCCCGGGCUCAACCUGGGAACUGCAUCCAUAACUGCCUGACUAGAGUACGGUAGAGGGUGGUGGAAUUUCCUGUGUAGCGGUGAAAUGCGUAGAUAUAGGAAGGAACACCAGUGGCGAAGGCGACCACCUGGACUGAUACUGACACUGAGGUGCGAAAGCGUGGGGAGCAAACAGGAUUAGAUACCCGCGUAGUCCCUGUCUCUUAUAC
rnacentral:rRNA from 1 species